UACGGAGGGGGCAAGCGUUGUUCGGAAUUACUGGGCGUAAAGGGCGCGUAGGCGGCCUGUUAAGUCGAACGUGAAAUCCCCGGGCUCAACCCGGGAACUGCGUCCGAUACUGGCAGGCUUGAAUCCGGGAGAGGGAUGUGGAAUUCCAGGUGUAGCGGUGAAAUGCGUAGAUAUCUGGAGGAACACCGGUGGCGAAGGCGGCAUCCUGGACCGGCAUUGACGCUGAGGCGCGAAAGCCAGGGGAGCAAACGGG
rnacentral:rRNA from 1 species